CCUUCAACUUUACAUAUGAUAUAAAAUCUUUCAUCUGUUUCCCCAUUAGUCCUUGAUGUUACUCAUUUUAAUCCUACACAUGAUAGAAACUCUACAAUUAAAGAAUGAGAAAACAUGUUUUUUUAUAUGACCUACAUAUUUUCCAUUUCUAGUGUUCUUAAUUCCUUUGUUACACCAAAUUCCCAUCUGGCAUCAUUUUCCUUCUGCCUGAAGAAUUUCCUUUAACAUUUCUUGUAGUGGCAGUCUUCUGGCUUUUGUUUGUAUGAAAAAGUAGUAUUUUGCCUUUGUUUUUGAAAGAUAUUUUCAGUGGGUAUAAAAUUCUAGGUUGACCAUUAUGUUUCCUUCUAGUACUUUAAAGAUGUCACUCCAUUGUCUUCUGGCUGCAUAGUUUCUAACAAGAUGUGUUCUUACUCUAUCUUGUUUCUUUUCUCUGGCUGCUCCUUCUUCCUCUUUAUCAGUAAGUUAACUAUAAUGUACCUUAUAUAGUUUUCUUUCUGUUUAGUGUGUUUGAGGUUUAUUGAGAUUCUUGGAUCUACAGGUGUGCCAUUUUUAUUAAAUUUUGGAGAUUUUCAACCAUUAUUUCUUCAAAUAGCUUAUGUUUCCACUCUCUCCCCUCCCCUUGGAACUUCAUUUAUGACAUGGUAAGCCACCUGAUAUUUUCCUGAAGGUCUCCAUUCAUUUUUUAAAAGUCUUUUUUCUCUGUGUUUCAUUUCGGAUAAUUUCUAUUCUUAGAUCUUCAUGUUCACUAAUUUUUUAUUUUAUAGCAUCUAAUCUGCAGUUAAUUCUACCCACUAUAUUUUUUACUUAAAAUAUUGUAUUUUUUUUUUGUUUCUAGAAAUUCCACAUGAGUCUUCUUUUAUAUGUUCCAUUCCUUUUAUCAUUAUAUUCAUGCUUUCCUUUAUAUUCUUGAGCACAUAGAGCAUAUUUAUAAUAACUGUUUUAUCAUCUUUUUCUUCUAAUUCCACCCUCUCUCAUUUCAGGAUCCAUGCCCAUCUUCCUCUACUUUAUAUGUGGGACACCUACCACAGCAUGGCAUGCCAAGCGGUGCCAAGUUCGCACCCAGGAUCCGAACUGGCGAACCCCAGGCUGCCUAGAAACGGAAUGUGCAAACUUAACUGCUGAGCCACCAGGCUGGCCCCUGUGGGCUUUGUUCUGACAUGCAGUUAAGUUACUUGGAA
rnacentral:lncRNA from 1 species